rnacentral:rRNA from 1 species
AUUGAACGCUGGCGGCAGGCCUAACACAUGCAAGUCGAACGGUAACAGGGAUCAGCUUGCUGAUUCGCUGACGAGUGGCGGACGGGUGAGUAAUGUCUGGGAAACUGCCUGAUGGAGGGAGAUAACUACUGGAAACGGUAGCUAAUACCGCAUAACGUCGCAAGACCAAAGAGGGGGACCUUCGGGCCUCUUGCCAUCGGAUGUGCCCAGAUGGGAUUAGCUAGUAGGUGGGGUAACGGCUCACCUAGGCGACGAUCCCUAGCUGGUCUGAGAGGAUGACCAGCCACACUGGAACUGAGACACGGUCCAGACUCCUACGAGAGGCAGCAGUGGGGAAUAUUGCACAAUGGGCGCAAGCCUGAUGCAGCCAUGCCGCGUGUAUGAAGAAGGCCUUCGGGUUGUAAAGUACUUUCAGCGGGGAGGAAGGGAGUAAAGUUAAUACCUUUGCUCAUUGACGUUACCCGCAGAAGAAGCACCGGCUAACUCCGUG